AAUCAGGCGCGCAGCCAGGGAGGAAGGGGCGGCUUCCGGAAUCUGGCGCGGCCUUUGUCUCACUUCAGCCCGAGCGCGGGGUUAGGGCUUCAUUGCCUUGUGUCUUCUGCUCCGGGAGACUUCGGUGAUUCUGCCACUCACUCCGUCGCUCUGUGACCUGCUGGCAUUGAAUGAUUUAUAGCUAAGACUCCAGGACACCCCUGAAGCCGAGAAAUGUGGAAAAGCGAGAUUUUCUUUGACCAUUGGCUAUGGACAUUGUCAGGGAUGGUGCAGCCUGAAUGAGAAUGUCUGCAGUAUUUCCUGAAAUAAGUAUCCCUCAAGGAUGAUACUGUGGACCUCACUCAGGAAGAAUGUGUCCUUCAGAGAAAGCUGCGCAGAGACGUGGUGCUGGAGAAGCAGUCAUCUGGUUACUUUGGUACAUGACUUCAGGCUCCUAUGUGCAGAAGUCCUCAACCCCCAGGCUGCAGACCAGUACCUGUCCAUGGCCUGUUAGGAAACUGGCCGCACAGCAGGAGGUGAAAUGAUUAUUGCAGUUUUGAGGGGAGAUGAUGUCACAAGAUCUCGAACCCAUAUCUCAGAACUGCCUGCCUCCUCCCACACACUCUGGCUGUCCUGACCAUCACUUCAAGCCCACCAGCCCUGCAGCAAAAAAAAUCAAACGAGUAGUUCAGAAGGCAAAGUCUGCAAGGGAAGGAAGUGUAUUGGGAGGUACAGAGUUUACCGUGAAGAAGCUGACUGCUAUGAACAGCAUGUGAAGGUGGAGGAAUUCCAG
rnacentral:sRNA from 1 species